rnacentral:rRNA from 1 species
UACGUAGGUCCCGAGCGUUGUCCGGAUUUAUUGUGCGUAAAGCGAGCGCAGGUGGUUUAUUAAGUCUGGUGUAAAAGGCAGUGGCUCAACCAUUGUAUGCAUUGGAAACUGGUAGACUUGAGUGCAGGAGAGGAGAGUGGAAUUCCAUGUGUAGCGGUGAAAUGCGUAGAUAUAUGGAGGAACACCGGUGGCGAAAGCGGCUCUCUGGCCUGUAACUGACACUGAGGCUCGAAAGCGUGGGGAGCAAACAGG